rnacentral:lncRNA from 1 species
GAGAGACGUAAGGUCGGCGGAGAAUGCGCGGGUCGAGUGCUGUAGUUCGAUUUUUGCGUGUGUGCGUUGCUUGCGGCCUUUGUGCCUUUUUAUUCUUUGCUUACCUUUAUGAUAUAAAGACCUUAUUUCUUACAAGGAGGAAAAGACCGCUGACUUCAGAAACAGCGGGAACCCCAGCUCGUCCCCGGUAAUUCAAGAGGAAACGCUUGAGCAAUUACUGAUGUUGUAAACUGGGAUCAGAAGACAUACAUGGUAUCGUAUCCCAGGCAAGGCACAGUGGCUCACACCUGUAAUCCCAGCACUUUGGGAGGCUGAAGAAGGCAGAUCACUUGAGGUCAGGAGUUCGAGACCAGCCUGGCUUACAUGGUGAAACCCAUCUCUACUGAACAUACAAAAAUUAGCUGGACAUGAUGAAGUGGACAACAUCACUUCUUUCCACAUUUCAUUGACCAGAGCAAGUCAUGUGACCAAGCCUGAUUCAAAAUAGGCUGGAGCAAGGAGGAGCAGCAAACAUAACAUUCCCAGUUUACAGCUGAGGAAAUUAAGCUUCAAGUUGCCCAAGUUUAUAGAAUGAGUCAAUGGCAGAGGUUGAACUCAGAUGACAAAAUUGGGGUCUGGACGUGUGCAAGGACUUUUCCAAAGUCAGCUGGAAAGGAGCUGCUUAGCUGAGAGGUUCUGGCUCCAGAGUCUCCUGUGAAGUUGCAGUCAAGAUGUCUGCUGGGACCCCAGUCAUUUGAAGCCCUGUCUGGGGCAGGAGAAUCUAGGUCCAAAAUGGCCGUUGCAGGAGUCCUUAUCCACACCAUGUGGGACCUCUUCAUAGAUGUUCGAGUGUCCUCAUGGCAUGGCCACUGGCUUUCCCCAAAGUAAGCAGUCCAAAAGAGGACAAUCAACAAAACUGAAAAAGCCCAGCCUUGUAGCAUUUGCCAGUUAUUGUGUAAAUGUCCCCACUAUGGUGGAUUUCAGGUUACCACUAUGAUAUCACAGAAUGCAGAAUUGGAAGGAGAUUCACAGCAGCACCCCAUUAUACUAUAUUUUCACCAUACAGAUGCAGUCGAUGUAAAUUACCUGAGGAGCAUAAAUAAUAAUAAAAUGAAGUUAAAUAAUUCGGAAAUGAUUUUGAAAAUUGUGUUGGUUUUUAAUGUAAGUUUAUAUGUCAGCUUUAAUAAAAUCUGUCUUUAACAACUAGCUUGAAGAAUUCUUGAAAAAUUAAUAAUCAGCUCUCAUAGGCUAGUGACAACUGGCUUCAGUGCACCCCUGACUAGAAACACCUUUGCUUUCCACCACAUGUGGAAUUCCCAGUAUUUCAACAAUCAGAAUUGAGCUUAUGAGCCAACCAAGAAAAAUAACAUCUUAUAUAAGAGACAGCAAUUUGAGAGAGGAAUAUCAGUCAGAAGAAACAAGGGGAAAGUCGAACUUGUAAAAGAGAGAUGAAAAUUUGAAUUUUUUUAAAGGCAUCCUUAAGCAUAUUUAAGUACAACACAAAAAGUUAAAGAAUUUAGUAGAUAAAUAGAAAGAUGAGAUGAUUACCACUGAGACACAGAUCAAUGAUCUGGAAGAUAAAAACAAAUCAUAAAAAUAAAAGUAUCUUGAAAUUUUGCAAAGUACAUCAUAAAUCAAUGCAUCAGAGAUUAUGUGUCAUGACAAAAAAAUUUAUACUCAGAAUGAUAUGUCACUGCUUACUAUGCAAAUAUUUUCUAUUUCUCCUAGCUUCAAACUAUGCAUAUGGGCCAGGCGCGGUAGCUCAUGCCUGUAAUCCCAACACUUUGGAAGGUCAAGGUGGGCAGAUCAUUUGAGGCCAGGAGUUUGAGACCAGCCUGGCCAACAUGGUGAAACUCCGUCUCUACUAAAAAAUACAAAAUAAUUAGCUGGGUGUCGUGGAGCAUACCUGUAAUCCCAGCUGCUCCGGAGGCUGAGGCACGAGAAUCGUCUGAACCCAGGUGAUUCUGCACUCUACUUGGGCUCUGUCUCAAAACAACAACAACAGCAACAACAAAAACUGUGGUAUUUUUAAUGAACUAAAUAUUAAUCUGCUAACACAGCAUAGGUUUUAUGAUUACUGCAAUUCAAAAGUCAUAAUAAAUUUUAAAACAAAUCCUCCUGUACCUGUUGUGGUGCAUGCAGAAACUUUUCCUGUUCAACACACUUAUAUGGCACUAUAUAGGGAUAUACCAAAUAGCUCAGGUACAUAGUGAAUACAACUUUAACACUUAUAUUGAAAUGCUAAUCUUACUUGCCAAUAUUAGUGGCACAUUAGCAUAAUUUAACUUUUAUAAAAUUAUGGAAAACAGUUUAAAAUUAUUCUCCCUAAUAUUAGCAAAUUGCAUUAAUGGCAUGUACCGUGUGCCAGUUUGUUUCCAAAUAAACAAAAUGUACCUUGAUAUGCCACUUCAGAGCCAGCAGAGGGAGCUCAUACUUUUUUAUUGUUUUCAACUUACUGAAGAAAAUUUGCUUUUAAAAGCUACUGUGUUAUAACCAAUGAGAACC